AUGACUUUGAUCUCCGUCCUCAUCUGGACUCUCCUCUGCUGCUGCUUCACAGAGUCCAGAGGCCAGGUCACAGUGACUCAGCCUGGAGCAGUGAGCUCUGCUCUGGGAGGCUCCGUCUCCAUCAGCUGUAGGACCAGUCAGGCUGUUACACACACUAACUAUUUACAGUGGUACCAACAGAGAGAUGGAGAAACUCCUAAACUGAUCAUUAAAUAUACUAGCACUCGAGAAUCAGGGAUUCCAGAUCGUUUUACAGGCAGUGGAUCAAACUCUGACUUCACUCUGACCAUCAGUGGAGUCCAGACUGAAGAUGCAGCAGUUUACUACUGUCAGAGUUUUCAUGUUAUCAACAGCCAGUGGGUGUUCACACAGUGAAAAAGCGUCGUACAAAAACCUCCCUCAGUCAGACUGAACAGAAACUGAACCGACUGCUGCAGCUGGAAGCUACUGCAGAGACUGAUACACUUCACUGAGGACACACACACACACACACACACACUUGACCUGAUUCAACAAAAGGGAGACAAACCAUCAUCAACUUUCACAAAAUAUAUUUAUUUUAACAAAUUAAACCAAAAUAGAGGGUUAACUUUAGCUAAUAUAUGGGCUGUGGAUAUUAGUAAAGUCAGUUUGUGUGAUGUUCAUGAGUGGUAAAUAUGUGUGUGUAAAGGUUGAUAGGAGCAGAGUAGAGAACUAAAGCAGACGGGAGAGGAGCAAAGCUGCAGCAGAGUGGAGAGUCAGCCAGAGAGAGGGCUGCACUGCAUCCAGACUUAAAUAACCUCCUGCUACUGGGAACAUCCUCAGCU